AGGUGAUGAAAUUAGAGUCCUGCUUAAAAAACACAGAUGCUCUGGAAUAUCAAGCAACAAUUUCAAGCUUUCACACUUCUUGAUUGAAACACAGUUUAAAGAGGGAACAAAAACCUGAAGAAAGAGCCACAGGACUGGACUGGGCUAAGGCAUGUUAAUAGCCAUGUUCUAG
rnacentral:lncRNA from 1 species